UCCUUACCGUGAGAAUAACGUUUAAGAUAACGGAAUAUUCUGUUUAAAAAACGAAUAUUCUUCUAUUUGAGUUAGAUAUUCUAAUCGUACAUAUCUCUAUCCUAUCUUUUCAAAUACCCAAAAACUCCUUGACAUUUUGUCACAAAGGAAAACAAAACCCUAGCCAACCCCUAAUUUUCUCUCUAAAAAUCAUGUAAAGUGCGCUUCUCCUCCGGGGGUCUGUCGUCUUCAUCCAUAGGCUUCGGCAUCUUCAUCCAUAGCCGUCGGUCCGUCAUCUUCAUCCAAAACCUCUGUCGGUCUCUGAAGAUCUGCACUGACUGAUCCGUCGAAGCCCUGUCCGCAACUCGGCGGGCCUCACCUCACGUUGCCGCGCCUCACCUCGCUUUGCUACCUGUACACUUGAUCUGCCAGAACAGGUGAGUUAGUUUCUGGUUGUACCAUAUAUUAAGGUUGUACGCUUUGUGCCUUCAAUCAUGAACCAUAUAUUCUUUACCACAAACGCACACACAGCAACAAUUUUGUUUUACUAUUAGAGAGAAAUGAAUUACAAACUGUGAUAUUCAAUAGAUAAUUUUGGAGUUUGCCAUAGGUCAGCUUUAUUGCUAUUCUCAAAUGCAGAUCAAUACACAAAAAAUUGAUUACAGUUGUCCAAUUCUAAAAAUUGGCAACUUCUUUAGUUUAUUCUGAAAAUUGGCAACUCCUUUACUUUAUUUGUUCACUACAGUUGUCCAAUUCUAAAAAUAUAUGAAUAUAUGUGAUGAAUUGACAUAUGAAUUAGUUUUGCUAAUUAUGAAUUUUGUUUAUUGUUGAUUGUUGUUAGUGUGAUGAUGCUGGUUUGUUAGGAUUCUAUUUUUUUUUUAUGUAGUUGUCGUUCUUGUUGGAGCUUUUGAGGUUGAUGUUUCCAACUGGUCUCCUUUUUGAGGUUGUCGUUCUUUGCUUAUGUAGGAUUUGAUGCAGUUGCCAAUUCUGCCAAAGAAUCUAAGAGAUCGCAGGAAUCCCUGAAGAAGAUUGCUCCCACUUAAAUGAAUGUUUCCCUGGCAAUGAAGAAGGAUCGUGAAACAGACAAAGCUUUUGGAUGGGUGCUUGAAAUGUAAUAAUUGUCCUUCUCUAGAUU